UCUCUGAUCUCUCCAUUCUCACGACUCGCCUCUCAGUCUCCACCACCAUCCUCCUCGCCUCCAUUCUCACGACUCUCGGCUCCUACCACUCCCCCAGUGCCCCCAACAGCAACCACCACCACCACCGCAGCAACCACACACCUCGACGUGCCCGGUUUCCAGGAACUUGCCGCUGCCAACCCCGCUGUCCACGCCGCUCUCGGAGGUCGUUUCACUCUCGCAGUACGCCGCGGAUCGGAGGCAGAGGAGGUGAUAAGAUUUUUUCUUGCAUUUUAUAAGCAAAAAUACAUUCACCACUUGCUCGUUGAACUUUGCCAGCAAAUUGAAAAGUUCUUUCAUCCAGGGAGCUUUUAGAAACAGCCAAAAUGUCGCGGAAGGGUUUGAUGGAGCAAGACCUGAGUAAACUGGAUGUAACAAAGCUACAUCCGCUCUCUCCUGAAGUUAUAUCUCGUCAGGCUACAAUUAAUAUUGGCACUAUAGGUCAUGUGGCACAUGGGAAGUCAACAGUUGUAAAAGCCAUAUCUGGUGUUCAG